CAGGCCUAACACAUGCAAGUCGAACGAGAAAGUGGAGCAAUCCAUGAGUAAAGUGGCGACCGGGUGAGUAACACGUGACUAACCUACCUUCGAGUGGGGGAUAACCUAGGGAAACCUGGGCUAAUACCGCAUAACAUCUUUGGAUCGGAAGAACUGGAGAUCAAAGGGGCAAUUCGCUUGAAGAGGGGGUCGCGGCUGAUUAGCUAGUUGGCGGGGUAAUGGCCCACCAAGGCUUUGAUCGGUAGCCGGCCUGAGAGGGCGCACGGCCACACUGGAACUGAAACACGGUCCAGACUCCUACGGGAGGCAGCAGUGGGGAAUUUUGCGCAAUGGGGGAAACCCUGACGCAGCAACGCCGCGUGGAGGAUGAAGUCCCUUGGGACGUAAACUCCUUUCGAUCGGGACGAUUAUGACGGUACCGGAAGAGGAAGCACCGGCUAACUCUGUGCCAGCAGCCGCGGUAAUAC
rnacentral:rRNA from 1 species